GAUGAACGCUGGCGGCGUGCCUAAUACAUGCAAGUCGAGCGAACAGAUGAGGAGCUUGCUCCUCUGACGUUAGCGGCGGACGGGUGAGUAACACGUGGAUAACCUACCUAUAAGACUGGGAUAACUUCGGGAAACCGGAGCUAAUACCGGAUAAUAUAUUGAACCGCAUGGUUCAAUAGUGAAAGACGGUUUUGCUGUCACUUAUAGAUGGAUCCGCGCCGCAUUAGCUAGUUGGUAAGGUAACGGCUUACCAAGGCAACGAUGCGUAGCCGACCUGAGAGGGUGAUCGGCCACACUGGAACUGAGACACGGUCCAGACUCCUACGGGAGGCAGCAGUAGGGAAUCUUCCGCAAAGGGCGAAAGCCUGACGGAGCAACGCCGCGUGAGUGAUGAAGGUCUUCGGAUCGUAAAACUCUGUUAUUAGGGAAGAACAAAUGUGUAAGUAACUGUGCACGUCUUGACGGUACCUAAUCAGAAAGCCACGGCUAACUACGUG
rnacentral:rRNA from 1 species